rnacentral:rRNA from 1 species
GCGGCCUAUCAGCUUGUUGGUGGGGUGAUGGCCUACCAAGGCGACGACGGGUAGCCGGCCUGAGAGGGCGACCGGCCACACUGGGACUGAGACACGGCCCAGACUCCUACGGGAGGCAGCAGUGGGGAAUAUUGCGCAAUGGGCGGAAGCCUGACGCAGCGACGCCGCGUGGGGGAUGACGGCCUUCGGGUUGUAAACCUCUUUCGACAGGGACGAAGCGUGAGUGACGGUACCUGUAGAAGAAGCACCGGCCAACUACGUGCCAGCAGCCGCGGUAAUACGUAGGGUGCGAGCGUUGUCCGGAAUUAUUGGGCGUAAAGAGCUCGUAGGCGGUGUGUCACGUCGAUCGUGAAAACUUUCAGCUUAACUGGGAGCUUGCGGUCGAUACGGGCAUCACUGGAGUUCGGCAGGGGAGACUGGAAUUCAAGGUGUAGCGGUGAAAUGCGCAGAUAUCUUGAGGAACACCGGUGGCGAAGGCGGGUCUCUGGGCCGAUACUGACGCUGAGGAGCGAAAGCGUGGGGAGCGAACAGGAUUAGAUACCCUGG